GUGCCCUUAGCUCAGCUGGUAGAGCGCCUGACUGUUAAUCAGGAUGUCGUAAGUUCAAGUCUUACAGGGUGCG
rnacentral:tRNA from 1 species